rnacentral:rRNA from 1 species
UACGAAGGGGGCUAGCGUUGCUCGGAAUCACUGGGCGUAAAGCGCACGUAGGCGGAUCGCUAAGUCAGGGGUGAAAUCCUGGAGCUCAACUCCAGAACUGCCUUUGAUACUGGCAAUCUCGAGUCCGGGAGAGGUGAGUGGAACUGCGAGUGUAGAGGUGAAAUUCGUAGAUAUUCGCAAGAACACCAGUGGCGAAGGCGGCUCACUGGCCCGGUACUGACGCUGAGGUGCGAAAGCGUGGGGAGCGAACAGGA